UCUUCAGGUGAAAUUACAGGAGAUCAGUGAGCCUUGAAGGUCCUGCUCUUCUUGCCUGCUCCCAGCACACGGCCCCACUCCUGUGCUCAGCUGGGCACCUUUGUGAAACCAUUCCUGCAUAUUCAGCUGCAUAAGGGAGAUCCUUAUCUUCGGGUUACUGAGCUCAAUGGCUUCACAGAAGAUAUCCAACAAAGGACAGGAAAAAAAAAAUUCAACUUGGAAGGAAGAAAUGAAGGAACCAGAGAAGCAAAUUGUUUUGUCAGCUUAAUUUCUGAAGUAGAUGACUGCUCUGGAGGAUCAAACAAAUGGCAGAAGCAGAAAAAUAGGAAAGAGCAGGAAUCCACAGCUGAAGGAUGUUUACAUUCUGCCUUUUACAGCGCUGUGAAUAUGGAAUCUCAUCUGCACAGUAACUCUCAGUCUCCUUCCCACUGGCAGCAGAAAAGCAGCUGGCAGAGGCAGGAGCUGCCACAGCAGCAGAGCUGGGUCCUGGCACCACCACUGAUGCGAGUCAGCAGGCCUGGGCACGCCAAAGCAGCAACCCCCAGUCCUUCACUUGCCCCCAGUAAAGCUGGAGAUAAAAGAACAGCACAAAAAUGAUGACAGGAUUAAAUCUGCCCAAUUUUAAACACAUCAGUGCUAUCAGAAGCCACAGCAGCUGUAAAGUGGCCUGGACUUACAUUUCAGUGCUGUCAUUAACACACCCAAAUAUUUCAACGCCUUUCAAUGGAAAAUAAUUCAUUAAGGAAGCAAAGCUGUAAGAAAAGAGUGAAGGAGUCUUCAAAUCAACUAGAAGAUGGCAAUUAUAUAACUCUAUGAACUUCCUGAAGUAUUUCAGAUGUCAUUUUCAAAUAAACCACUCUAAAUAAAAUGAAGAAAUAUCUAGUAUUUGUUAUGAGAAUGAGUUGGAAAAUAUUUCUUGCUAUGUUUAAGACAGAAACAUCCUGAGUUUUUUUCAUAUACCAGAUAUCUUUUAGAGGAGAGACAAGAAAAUACACACAUUUUUUAAAUUAUUGAGAAGAUAAAUAUAACUCCCCAUAGAAGAAACUAGGUAUUAAAAAUUCUUUCACCACAACAAAUUCUGUGUUUGGCAUGAGUAAAAAAAAAUUCUUUAAUAUUACUCUACUGAACAAAAUG